rnacentral:tRNA from 4 species
CGCGGGAUGGAGCAGUUCGGUAGCUCGUCGGGCUCAUAACCCGAAGGUCGUUGGUUCAAAUCCAGCUCCCGCAA